AACGAACGCUGGCGGCAUGCCUAACACAUGCAAGUCGAACGAGACCUUCGGGUCUAGUGGCGCACGGGUGCGUAACGCGUGGGAACCUGCCCUUAGGUUCGGAAUAACUCCCCGAAAGGGGUGCUAAUACCGGAUAAUGUCUUCGGACCAAAGAUUUAUCGCCUUUGGAUGGGCCCGCGUUGGAUUAGCUAGUUGGUAGGGUAAAAGCCUACCAAGGCGACGAUCCAUAGCUGGUCUGAGAGGAUGAUCAGCCACACUGGGACUGAGACACGGCCCAGACUCCUACGGGAGGCAGCAGUGGGGAAUAUUGGACAAUGGGCGAAAGCCUGAUCCGGCAAUGCCGCGUGAGUGAUGAAGGCCUUAGGGUUGUAAAGCUCUUUUACCCGGGAUGAUAAUGACAGUACCGGGAGAAUAAGCUCCGGCUAACUCUGUG
rnacentral:rRNA from 1 species